GACAGAGGGUGCAAACGUUGUUCGGAAUUACUGGGCGUAAAGCGCGUGUAGGCGGUCUCGCAAGUCGGAUGUGAAAGCCCCGGGCUCAACCCGGGAAGUGCACUCGAUACUGUCGAGCUAGAGUAUCGGAGAGGUUGGUGGAAUUCUCGGUGUAGAGGUGAAAUUCGUAGAUAUCGAGAGGAACACCGGUGGCGAAGGCGGCCAACUGGACGAAUACUGACGCUGAGACUCGAAAGCGUGGGGAGCAAACAGG
rnacentral:rRNA from 1 species